AUCCCUAUGGACAUGUAAUUAAGAAAUAUUUGACAAUUUCUGACAAUAUUUUUAACAGGUUUAGAACUAAACCAGAGACAAGUGACAUGAAGCACCUGUUACAUUCAGUUCAUCUAGAUACUUGAGCAAGCAAUUAAUGCAAUUUGGAAUGCUGCAGGACUAGUGUGAUAAAACAUUUAGGAAUAGUAUCUCUAAGGAUCACUGUCUAAAAGCUUGUGAAAACACUGGUAGACACCAUUUACCUGGAUGAAUAGUCCCAUUAGUCUUCAGCAUGACUACUGACAAUGAAUUAAAUGUCUACAGGAUAGAAAUUUGUAAGAGAUAAUUGCACAAAAUCAGAUUUCUGUCCUGAAUUUUAGUGUGUGUGGGCAAAUCAAACGACCUGAAUGAAAUCCCUGAUGACAGAACUUUGUGAGAUAAAAGAAAUCUUCCAGGAGCAAGGUUUGAGGCUGAAAAAUUAAGUCUUAAGAGCUAAAACACUGCUUUGGUGCUCCAUAUACCAGAAAGUAAGUGCUGACCCAGUCUAGGCUCAUUCUGCAACUUCGUAUUUAUUGAGUAACGUUUUUUAUUUCAGGCUUUCUGCAGGACAGAUGUUGUCUCAUCCUUUGCAGCUGGCAUAAAAUUUUCACUGUGUACUCUCAGUAAUGUUCUGGAAACCUGACCGUAUGCCCAUACCCGAUCCAGCCAGAAUUAGCACUGCUGUGUGCAGAAGCUCACAGGCACAGUUUUAGCAGAACCCUUCUGACUAGAUCACUCUCUGGUCUUAAAAGCAGUUCCCAGGCAGGAGCCUGCACAGCCUGCAGUAGUUAUAAACUGCCUUUUGCACUCUGUGCUGCAUCACUUGAAAUGAAAGAAGUCAUUCUCAGUAUUUACUUUCAGCUAAUUUAGGUUUACUUUUUCAUGUCAGGGAUCACACUUGUGAAAUGAUGUAACAAACCAGUCAUGUUUUACAAAAACAAACAAACAAUAAUUUCUGAGAUGUGAUCCAAAAUUAAGUGUUUAAAUAAAACCAAGUGUAAUUUAAUUGAGAAAUAACAAAACCAAAACACACUAACUUUCCAAUAAAAAUUUAAAAUUAA